AAAGAUAGAGGUUGCGUGAUUCAUCAGUAAUCUGCCGGAUGUGGCAGGCACAGAGGAUGGCAGAUGAAAGGGAAGAACGCCGAAAAGAAACAUUUUCUGCAGAUGUUUUUUUGGGCACAGGGCAAACAGGUCUGUGACUGUCAUCAAAAGAUGGGGAGCUAUCG
rnacentral:ncRNA from 1 species